AUUGCAGGGAAAGUCAGAUGUAUAAUGAUAAUAAAUAAAUUAUAUAAUUUGGAAAAGUUUGGCAGACCGGAUUAAAAAGCUGAACGGGCCGCAUCCAGCCCCCGGGCCUUAGUUUGCCUAUGCCUGCUCUAUUCUCACAGUGUGUCUCUGCCUCGUGUGCGUUUGUGUGAAUCUUUUCUGAGAGUUAUCGUCAUUGAUUUUGACUUUACAAAGACGACACUAUUCAUCGCUCUGUUUAACUUCCUGUCUUCACUGCUACUGUAGUAUUCUGGAAAACCGUAGUAUUCCUGGAGAGAAGACUUGAAAUAGAUGGCUCCUAACUUCCGAGUGAGGCUCGUCUGUGCUAACUGCUGGUUAAUGGAAGAUUGCCGGAAGCAACUGUCUGACUGGAGUGAGCAGUGCUUGGGUCCAUGGUUGGACUUUGUUCUGCUCUGCGUUACCAUGGUAACCAUCCACACACUUGUAAUCAGUUGGUUACAAAAAGUUGGUUACAGUAUGUGUUUGUACGGGACAGUUCUGUUUGAAUACACAGCCGUGCUGCUACAGCACUGUUGUCCACCUGUUUGACUGAGCCUCACACUGCAGGGCCAAACAGCAGAAGAAAUGAUAUCCAAUCACUGCAGCUCUGUCACACCUCCUACAGGUGGAAGCUCUUACAGUAGAUUUGUCAUCCACAGGCUCAGACCUGAGACCUGCAGCUACAGAUCCAAACACACCACUGAUGGACCUGUUUGCCUCAGUGAUGUCAGCAGCUGUGACAGUGUUUCCAUCACCUCACGCUGUGCACAUUUUUCCACAACUUUCCGGGGCUCAAGCCGGGGAACAGGUUAUCUAUUGGGACGACUGCAUCAGAGGGAAGGAGAAACAGUUUGUGAAUACUACAUCCAAGAGAUGAUUGGUGGAGAUUUUCAGCGGAAGACUGGGAUUGGCUGGAAUGUGGACUAAAAACUGAUUAAGACUUGACUCUUAACUCAGAGUCCCAGCAGCAGCAGCCGCCUUCACAGUGAUUUAGGAUAGCUUCAUACCAGCUGACCUUCAUGGCGUCCUAAGACAGGCCUGUCGGUGUGUUGACUUCUACUACUAUGCCUUUUAACCAUUUCAUUGUGUAGUACAUGUUGGGUAUUGGUCCUUCUUAAUUAUGUGUUGAUGUAGUACUGAAAGAGUCUCCAUUAGCCCCACAGUUUAUGCUCCUGGGUUGCCUGCAAAUGAAUCAGGAUAAACCUUCGUGGUUACUUCAGUGUUCAGUCCACUGCAGCCUCUAAUGGGCUGAAGUUUUCAGCAUCACAUGACUUCCUGCCUCCAGGCAGUUCAGCCCUGAGGAGAUUGCAUUAUUUUUUCCCUCUCAACAGGUAUCGUACCCCAAGUGGUGGAGCUUCACACAGGGUCCUUGAACGCACCGUCCUUCUCCGUACGUACGAUUCUUUCCAUCACUUUCUCCAUGCUGUGUCAGCAACUAAACCCAGAAAGCUGAUGGUAAAUGCAGCCAGCGAGCCUGCAAAUUAUUACCAGGGUCAGGAUCAGUGCACAGGGAACAGGUUGUCAACACUGCAUGUCUUUCAACGCUGCAGUUUUAUCCAGUUUCCAUCAACUGAGCAUGUUUCCGAAUCUCCUUCCUCCUCGUGUGUAAACAUUUCUUUGUUUGCAUGAACAGAGCGGUGUAUUUAGGUGAAGCAGGGAGAGCUUGAGGUUGUAAAUGACCAAGCUCGACCCCUUGCCCCCCCCCGGCCCCCAUUACUACCAGAGGAUAAUGUACACCAUGCGAGCUGAAUGCUUUUGAUUAUGGAACAUUCUGUUACUCAGAUUGCACGGUUCUUGGCAAAAAUGUUCCUUCAAACAUCCUGCCAUGAAUCAAAAGCGUCCCUGAGUCCGUUUGGUUGCUCACAGAUGUCUAAAUCACUCUUUCAUCCUGUUUAUCUGAAACUUGACUUCUCAUGUGGCUAAAUUACAGCUCUAUAUGCAAAAGCUGAGAUGGAUGAGUUUGUUAACUUCUUUCCUCCUGAGGCGGUUUCAGGGAUAUGACAUUUUGAUCCCUUCCAGGAGGGAAUCCAUUUAUUACCUGCUUUUUCUCCGCAGCGUUUACAUUUAAAAUAUAUUGAUGUUGUAAACAUGA